ensembl:lncRNA
AUCCCGAGAAAGUUUCGCGAGAUCCCGAGAAACUUUCUCGGGAUCCCGAGAAACUUUUUCGGGAUCUCGCGGAGAAUCACAAUUCACAACCCACGACGGAGGAGCUGCUAUGUACGGAGCCCUCCGUUGCUAUGGAGGAGGAUUUGGAACAUUUCCUGCGGUCAAGAGACGUCCCUCAAGAGGCUGUACUCAACAUGAAACGGGACAAGGUUGACAAGGCAGUGCUGUCUGUCAUGACUGAUGAACAAAUGUCACGAUACAUCACCUCUUAUGGAGACCGAGUCGCUGUUCUCUCCUUCUGUAACCUGGGCUGCGCAAAUAAAGAGACUCUUUUGCAGAGAUUGAGGGAUAAAAUUGGAUUACGGAAAAUGAAAUCAAAGACUACAGGAGUAGACAAUGAACUGAAUUUCUUUCCACAAGACUUGCCUUCAUAUUCAAGCAGCCAGCUUUCCCCAUCACCCUCCGCUGAUACCUCAGGAGAUCCAGAUAGGCCACGACGUGCAUCUAUUCGCAGGAUAAAGGUUGUUGAAGAUCUAUUAGCUGUAUUUAUGGACAGCAGCUUAAUGAAUGUAACUCUAAAGAUGGACUUUGUAAAUGAAAAAGCUCUUGAUGAUGCUGGUGUGUCAAGGGAGAUUUACACUGCAUUUUGGGAGCAAUUUCUUGAACAGUGCGAAGGUGAAGCAGAGCGCGUUCCAAGGCUGAGGCCAGAUUUUGGUGAGGAUGAAUGGCAAGCGAUUGGACGGAUAUGGGUGAAAGGAUUACUUGACCAUGGUGUCUUUCCAGUGAGGAUCUCAAAAGCUUUUAUUUUAGCUUGCAUCUAUGGUAUUGACUCAGUGGAUGCAGACACCCUCAUGACAUCUUUUCUUAACUACCUUCCUCCUCUUGAGAGAGCAGCUGUUGAGAAGGCUCUCCAGGGAUCAAUGGAAGAAAGUGAUGAAGAGGAUCUGCUUGAUCUGUUUGUAAGGAUGGGUUCCCAUUGCCUACCGCCAAAGAACAAUAUCAAGGCUGCCAUCCAAACAAUGGCUCAUAAAGUAAUUCUUCAAGAACCAAAGUAUAUUGUUGAUUGUUUCUCCACACCCAUGGCACUCAUACAGAGAAAACUGUCAAACAGAGAGAGUGUAUUGUCUCUAUAUGAGUCAAAGAAGGCCACAGGUAAAAGAGUAUCACAGCUGCUUGAAACAACAAAAAUGGUGCUGUCUCAGAGAGAGCAAACAACCUUUAACCAUUUCCAGCGUUACGUGAAAAAUGCUGACCAAGUCCAAGCUGAAAAAAUCCUUCGUUUCUGCACUGGCUCAUCUGUCAUAUGUACUGACAAAAUUAUGGUAUGCUUUAAUGCUGAAACUGGGCUCAACAGGAGACCUAUUGCUCACACCUGUGGAGCAACCCUUGAACUACCAUGCACUUAUGGUUCCUACCCUGAAUUUCGCACAGAGUUUGACAACAUCCUGUCCAGCAACCACCUUGAAAUGAAUAUUCUUUGACUUGGAGAAAAGUCCUUGUAAGGGCCUAAGACAAACAGGCAUCACAUGGUAUGAAAUUUUAUAUAUUAUUUAUUGUUUUUGUUACUUUUUUGUUUCUUUUGUAAUGCAAACAUACAAUGUGAUGUGGUUUGCCACCUACAAUUCUGUUUGUGCAAUAGUACUUUGCUAAAGGGAUGUUUGUUUCAUUUUUAAUUCAUUUUAAAUAACACAACUAUUACUUUGUCUUUUACCUCAGUUUGACCCAAAUUCAUCCUCAAGACAGCACUUUAUGUUUUUUCCAAUCACAGAUUUCAGAGCUGUC